rnacentral:rRNA from 1 species
UACGGGGGGGGCAAGCGUUGUUCGGAAUUACUGGGCGUAAAGGGCUCGUAGGCGGCCCACUAAGUCAGACGUGAAAUCCCCAGGCUUAACCUGGGAACUGCGUCUGAUACUGGAUGGCUUGAAUUCGGGAGAGGGAUGCAGAAUUCCAGGUGUAGCGGUGAAAUGCGUAGAUAUCUGGAGGAAUACCGGUGGCGAAGGCGGCAUCCUGGACCGAGAUUGACGCUGAUGAGCGAAAGCUAGGGGAGCAAACGGG